rnacentral:rRNA from 1 species
CACUCCUGCGGGAGGCAGCAGUGGGGAAUUUUGGACAAUGGGCGAAAGCCUGAUCCAGCAAUGCCGCGUGUGUGAAGAAGGCCUUCGGGUUGUAAAGCACUUUUGUCCGGAAAGAAAUCCUUGGCUCUAAUACAGUCGGGGGAUGACGGUACCGGAAGAAUAAGCACCGGCUAACUACGUGCCAGCAGCCGCGGUAAUACGUGGGGUGCGAGCGUUAAUCGGAAUUACUGGGCGUAAAGCGUGCGCAGGCGGUUUGCUAAGACCGAUGUGAAAUCCCCGGGCUCAACCUGGGAACUGCAUUGGUGACUGGCAGGCUAGAGUAUGGCAGAGGGGGGUAGAAUUCCACGUGUAGCAGUGAAAUGCGUAGAGAUGUGGAGGAAUACCGAUGGCGAAGGCAGCCCCCUGGGCCAAUACUGACGCUCAUGCACGAAAGCGUGGGGAGCAAACAGGAUUAGAAACCCCAGUAGUCCCAUG